rnacentral:snoRNA from 10 species
UUGUCAAGUAGGAUAAUCCCUACCUGUUUCUCUUUUCAGAGGGCAGAUAGAACAUGAUGAUUGGAGCUUGCAUGAUUUGUGAUUAACAUCUCUGUGUGAUUAGGGCUCAAAACACCCUAAUUGCUCUUUUCUGAU